GAGCUUUAGGGGGAUGGUUGGCAAUACCCUGACAGGGACGGGAACAGUCUUUGGACUUGCCUGUUACCUCACAUCUGGUUAAAGAUAUAGCAUUAGUGAAACUGUGAAAGCUCUAGCUAGAACUCUCC